AUGUUUUCUAUUCAGAGCAUCCAAAGCUUCAUCAUGGCUUUAGAGCUGCUGUUCUUCAUUCUCCUAAAUUUGUCUUAUGAAGCCAGAGCUAAAGCUCUUCCUCAACCUAAAGUAGAGGUGGAUCGACUUCUGAUCACAGAGACUGACUCGGUCACAUUAAAGUGUUCAACCUCACAUGUUAAUGUUGAUCAGUGUGUUUUCAACAUUGAAAACAAAAAGAUGUCUGCAGCCUCC